GUCCUUAAACUGAGUGGAACUGCAGCUUUGGUUAAUAAACCCUUCAAGAAUGCUGGCUUAGGACAAUUCAGCUUUGGGACAUCAUAUCCAUGCCGACGGACAACAACGCUACGUUCAACUUCCAAACACCGACAAAACCUGCAUAAACGUCAGCGGACACCAAACCUCCAGAGAAAACUAUUGGCACUUUUUCAUUUGUAAUCACCGUUGCUUCAAGUAUUAACGCUACAUAAUCCGAUGCUCUUCCGGAUCUUCCUGCAUACGCUUUUCCCGCAGCUUUUACCACAUCAGUUCAACUCCGGCGAGUUGAGCCCGCUGCUGUUUUAUUGUUUGAAAUAUUUCGUCCGGUUCAACCUCAGCAACAACCACCAACAUUCCAGCUACUGAUGGUUUCAACUUCGGAACAAGAAACAUUCCUAGAGUUAUCUGUGGCUGCUACACCGGCAACGGCAGCGCCUAUUUUCGGUGUCUCCUCUGCGGCAUCGAAAUCCGAUUUUAGUUAAGUAGCACCCAUCAUUCCUCCUACUACGGCAGCUUCACUUCCAGCAUUUCCACGGUAAAGCCACAUUCUACUGUCAUUUUUGAGGGAGCAGUUGGUGUUACUAAACCAACGUUUCGUCAGGAGCAUUCUACAUAUUUUACCUUUUCGUUCGAAAAUGCCGUCACGACAGCAGCCCCAGUCGCGGCCACCAGCAGUAACGAUGCCACUGGGUUUGAAUCUUAUGUUGCCGACGGGACAUCGAUGGCUACUUGCUUCUGAGCGUCACCAAUUUUUGAUACCGACUCCGGAUCGUUAGCUACUGCCGCUAAUUCAAACGCCAUAUUUGGUAGACCCUCCAGGGUUACAUCGCCUAUUGGUGGGACCAAUUCAAAACUAGCAGCAUUAGCACAAGGAAUUCGGAGACGCAUCGUUGUUAGAAAUUGUACAUACUUCGGACUUUGGACUCUUCAAGACGUUCCGAACGAAAACAAAUCGCUGCCGUGCCAAACUGACUAUACAUAUUAACAAAACGCUCAUUAGACCGAUAGUCCUCUACGUGCCUCUACCAUUGCG